UACAGAGGUCCCAAGCGUUGUUCGGAUUCACUGGGCGUAAAGGGUGCGUGGGUGGUCGGGUAAGUCUGAUGUGAAAUCUUCGAGCUCAACUCGAAAAUGGCAUUGGAUACUAUUCGGCUGGAGGGUUGGAAGGGGGACUGGAAUUCUCGGUGUAGCAGUGAAAUGCGUAGAUAUCGAGAGGAACACCGGUGGCGAAGGCGAGUCCCUGGACAAUUCCUGACACUGAGGCACGAAAGCUAGGGGAGCAAACAGG
rnacentral:rRNA from 1 species